rnacentral:rRNA from 1 species
GAAUGUCAUUUGGUCAAAGCUCGUCCUUGUGGCGUGGCUCGGCUAGUGCUUCCUAUCUUUUGGAGGUGGUAACACUUUCAAAUCAUUUACUUUGAAAAAAUUAGAGUGUUCAAAGCAGGCGUAACUUGCCAUUGAAUAUUACAGCAUGGGAUAAUAGAAUAUGACGUUGGUCUUAUUUUGUUGGUUUCUAAGGCUGAUGUA